GGGCCUGUGGUUUAACGGUAGAAUUUCCGGCUGGCAGUCGGAAGGUUCGGGUUCGAUUCCCGGCGGGUCCA
rnacentral:tRNA from 1 species